rnacentral:rRNA from 1 species
UACGAAGGGUGCAAGCGUUACUCGGAAUUACUGGGCGUAAAGGGUGCGUAGGUGGUUUGUUAAGUCUGCUGUGAAAUCCCCGGGCUCAACCUGGGAAUGGCAGUGGAUACUGGCAAGCUAGAGUGCGGUAGAGGGUAGUGGAAUUCCCGGUGUAGCAGUGAAAUGCGUAGAUAUCGGAAAGAACACCAGUGGCGAAGGCGGCUUCCUGGACUCAUACUGACGUUGAGGCGCGAAAGCGUGGGUAGCAAACAGG